rnacentral:rRNA from 1 species
GACGUAGGAGGCGAGCGUUAUCCGGAUUCACUGGGCGUAAAGCGCAUGUAGGCGGCUGGAUAAGUCGUGUGUUAAAGCCCCCGGCUCAACUGGGGGGGGUCAUGCGAGACUAUUCGGCUUGAGGGCAGCAGAGGAGCGUGGAACUCCCGGUGUAGCGGUGGAAUGCGUAGAUAUCGGGAAGAACACCGGUGGCGAAGGCGGCGCUCUGGACCGAGACUGACGCUGAGGCGCAAAAGCGUGGGGAGCAAACAGG